GAUGAAGAACGCAGCGAAAUGCGAUACUUGGUGUGAAUUGCAGAAUCCCGUGAACCAUCGAGUCUUUGAACGCAAGUUGCGCCCGAAGCCAUUAGGCCGAGGGCACGCCUGCCUGGGCGUCACACGUCGUUGCCCCCCCAUCUACUCCUUCGGGAUUGCGGGGGGCGGAUGAUGGCCUCCCGUGCGCCUCGUCGCGCGGUUGGCAUAAAUACCAAGUCCUCGGCGACGCACGCCACGACAAUCGGUGGUUGCGAAACCUCGGUUGCCCGUCGUGUGCGGUCGUCGCGCAUCGAGGGCUCGAAAAAAUUGCCGGGCUCCGGCUCGGCUUUCAACGCGACCCCAGGUCAGGCGUGGUUACCCGCUGAAUUUAAGCAUAUCAAUAAGCGGAGGA
rnacentral:misc_RNA from 1 species